AACUCUUGAGCCCUAGUAUCAAUCUAAAAAAAACCAUACCCUUCCAUAUACUAGUAUCUCUGUAGUGUCUCUCUCUUCGUCACUUUACUCUGUAAUGCUCUGUUUCUUCUCCACCCCACAGCUUUUCACUGUUGCCAUUGCGCCACCGUGACCACCAGUGAGCCACCUGCAUCGUCUUCACCUCCGUGCUUCUGCUAUCAGGGCCGCUACUUUUGCCAAAGUUGAAACCACAUCAGUUUUUCCAGAUGGAUGAUUACGAAAUUUAUUCUGAGAUUGAAGAAUAAGGAUAGCAAAUUUAUGCAUGUGUCUUCCUUCAAGGAUAACCAGCUUCUUUCCCCCCUGGUUAUUUUGGCAUCAUGGACAGGAAGGUAUGAAGCUCAUUUGUGGGACAAGAAUUGCUGGAAUGAAUCACAAAACAAGAAAGGAAGACAAGUCUAUCUUGGUGCCUAUGAUGAUGAAGAAGCUGCUGCUCAAAGACAAACAGCCUCUCUACUGGUGGUUUGAAUGCGAUGACGUGACUAUGUAGUUUCUAACAAGCUUGUGUUAAUUAGAUUAAAUGGAAUUAAAUCACAAGCUAUCUGCAGUUUCUGUACUAAAUUGAGUGAUACUGUCUCAAGUGAAAUAGGAAAAGCAUAUGGAAAAACAACGUAUCUAGUCACGAGUCACGACAUUUAAGAUAGUUCCAAGGGGAACCGAAGGAGCUGUUAGUGUUGAGGGAACCGUUGCUGGACUUUUAGCAUCAAAGAUAGUUCCAAGGGGAACCGAAGGAGCUGUUAGUGUUGAGGGAACCGUUGCUGGACUUUUAGCAUCAAUUCUCCUUUCUUUCGUUGGUUAUCUGAUGGGUGAGAUAAAUGGACCCGAGGCUGUGAUUUGUGUUGUAGCUUCCUAGAUUGCUAAUCUUGGUGAAAGCGUGAUAGGUGCUUCCCUCCAAGAGGUAGAAGGAUUCUGAUGGGUAGGUGACCAACACAAAUUAUCAUUUCAAUUCUUUACUUUUUAUUGCGUCAUCAUAUGUUUUUUAGAUUUUUACACAACUCAGAUUCAACUGAAUGAAGACUAUAAACUACUAGGGAUUAGUUUAAUGAAUCCUUUAACACCAUUUUACUCAGUCUACAAUCACUUUCUUGACCUUUGAGAUUACGAACGUUUUACUCUAGUGUACAUUAGUUGUGUACCUAUCACAAGCUCCCUUUUCUUAGGCAUUUGAACCUUCGUAUGAAAGAUGAGGCUCUAACUUGUAACUAUGUUGAGUUUUUGUUUGAGAUAGCGAGUUGGUUGAGAAAGCAACUUUAGAAUGGGCAUUGGAAAAUUUAUUUAGUUUUUUGGAUGGGGAGGAACCCAUGGUUUAGCAAACCUUGAUGGAACCUCUAAUCUACCAUAAACCUCCCUCAGUCACCAUAAUCUCCACAGACCACGCACUUUAGUUAAGUCAUAGGGCUUAUGCCCUAUUGUAGGUGGCUCCAUGACUUGAAUAGGGGACCUUGGGCCUUUGGUGUCUCCCAAAGCCUAACCUGUCGAGCUAACCAUUGGGGUUGGAAUUGGGAAAACCACUUCCUUCUUCAAACCAAUAUUUUUAGUGUCACGCUUAGUUUUUUUGGAGUAAAGAGAAUACUGUGAAGACAGAUUGCUACUCUGGAUUUUAGGAGUUGAGAAAGGCUUGUUGCCACAAGUGCAUUAUACCUGCUACUAUCUGAACAGAUGCAUGCAUUGGCUUAUUCCACACUAGCUGUUCCCUUCAAACAUCUAAUCUACACAUUAGGCAUACUUCAAAUGGAACAAUUAACAUCAGACAGUGAUGGCCCGAUAAGGGCAGGCCAGUUAAGGAUGCACUGGAGUGUUGUUUGAUGCGACUAUAAUUGGUAUAGUUUGGAGGUAAUAUUGGGCUACCCACAUUUCAAUGCAUUAGUUAGGUGGAGAUUCAAAAUUGUGUUGUGCUUUAUUAGGGUGGAAGACCACGUGUUGCAGACUUCGUUCAUGGUGCUGAUGGAUUAGGGAACAUUUCCUUACCUCCUCCAAAAUCCAAGAAAAUUGAGAAGACGACAUCAGAAUUUUUGGUGGAUAUGGUUUCUAAAUAUCCUGGUGAAGUAUCCAUACUUGCGCUGGGACCAUUGGCGAAUUUUGCUUCAGCAAUGAAAAGGGACUCAUCCUUUGCAAGCAAGGUUAAGAGAGUAGUUAUUCUUGGUGGAUCUUUCUUUGCAUUGGGGAAUGUCAAUCCUGCUGCUGAAGCAAAUUCCUUGGGAGUUGAGGCUUACACAUCAUGGCAAGGAUUACACCUCAAGCUCUGCUACAACAAAGCAAGAAGAAGAAGGGUCCAAGUCGUAUCGGUGCCACUACAGUUAUUUUAUACAGCUUAAUUAUAGUUGUGAUGGUGUUUUUCCUGUUUUCUACUUAUAUUGGACUCAAGUCUGUUGCAGUGGUAUCUACAUUUGUUUAGUAUCAAAAUAGAACCACAGAAAAUCCAACAAUUGGAUUGAUGUUUCUUGUUGUGGCCGCUUUGGUUGCUGAAGCAGAGCUUGCAGAAGAAACUGAACAACUCCAAGAGGGUGUUGUGGAAAGUGGUGUUGUUGUUACCCCAACUAAGACCAAAAAAGGCAAAGCUGCAUUGCCUCUAAAAAGUGACACAGCUUGAAAGGGAAAAUGGGGUCGGGGCAUGUGGGAAGUCACUCCAGAAAUGGAGGCUUUGAAAUUGGCCCCUUGUGCAAUGGCAGCACAGGAUGAGAAAUCUGAUGUCCCUGACAACAUCUGCCAGCAGGUGAAGAAGUUAGGGCAGAACCCUGCUGCCUUUGUGCUGUUAUGCUUUCUGACACUGCCAAGUUUCUUUCAAAUCUGUUAGUUUCGUUCAGACACCUGAUUUCCACUCUGAUUUGGCGUGCCUUGCAAGUCCUACAUUGAGGAUGGGAUUAUUUUUCAUGAACAACCUUUGUUUUAUGAGGAGCCUGAUGUGCAUGAAAAUAUGCGUCUUGAUGUAGACGAUGUCUUAAGAGGAGUUGUUGGCCCUGGAGGAUCAAAUUGGAAAUGUGAGCACUGGAUUGAGUGAGGAAGCUAUUUUGGCAACUGUGAGGCGGCAUUGUUAUCUGUCAAUGAAAUUAGGACUUCCAGUGGAAGAGGAACCGUGCUGUAUUUGUCAGGAGGAUUAUGUUGAUGGAAAGGAGCUUGGUAAGCUAAAUUGUGGGCAUGAGUUUCGCUUCAAUUGCAUCAAACAAUGGCUCGUGCAGAAGAAUAACUGUCCCAUUUGCAAAAUGACUGCAGUGGUUGUUUGAGAGAUGAUCAGUUUCAGGGAACUCUUAUCCCAAAUCAGAGAUCAUUUGCGAAUCAGUUGUCCCUGUAAACUUCUCUCCGGUCCCUUUGCCAUCUGAACUUAAACCAUAGGCUUGCCGUUUCCUUUUGUUUGUUUCUUCUUUUUUUUCCUUUUCAUUUCAGUCAUGUGCAAGUUCAAAUUUGAGCUAAUAUGUGUUCUUUUAUAUGAAUUCUCAGUUAAUUCUUUAUCUCUCUAGUUAAAUUUUCCA